rnacentral:rRNA from 1 species
UACGAAGGGGGCUAGCGUUGUUCGGAAUCACUGGGCGUAAAGCGCACGUAGGCGGGUUCUUAAGUCAGGGGUGAAAUCCCGAGGCUCAACCUCGGAACUGCCUUUGAUACUGGGAAUCUUGAGUUCGGGAGAGGUGAGUGGAAUUGCGAGUGUAGAGGUGAAAUUCGUAGAUAUUCGCAAGAACACCAGUGGCGAAGGCGGCUCACUGGCCCGAUACUGACGCUGAGGUGCGAAAGCGUGGGGAGCCAAACAGG